GUGAGUGGCAAGCGUUAUCCGGAAUUAUUGGGCGUAAAGCGUCUGUAGGGGGAAAGUUAAGUGAAUUGUAAAAUCUCUCGACUCAAUCGAGAUCUGGCAGUUCAAACUGACUUUCUAGAAGAUAGUAGAGGCAAGUGGAAUUCCCGGAGUAGGGGUAAUAUCCGUUGAUCCCGGGAGGAACACCAAUAGCGAAGGCAACUUGCUGGGCUAUUCUUGACCCUGAGAGACGAAAGCGUGGGUAGCGAACGGGAUUAGAUACCCCGGGUAGUCCACGCCGUAAACGAUGGAUACUAGGCGUAUGUGGCAUCGACCCCCCCAUAUGUGCCGAAGCUAACGCAUUAAGUAUCCCGCCUGGGGAGUACGAUCGCAAGAUUA
rnacentral:rRNA from 1 species